AUGUCCAUAUCACGUUGAAACACCGGUUCUCGUACGAUUGCUUAAGUUAAGCAACGUCAAUUCCGGUUAGUACCUAGAUGGGUGACCGUUUGGGAAUAUAAGGUGUGGUA